AAUAACUGAACAAAGCUAAAGUUAGACAGCUACCACCACGACCAGAGAUCGUGGUCU
rnacentral:rRNA from 1 species